AAGACUAGACCUCUCAGGGAUCAUUUCUAAAGCUUCUGACUUGAGAAUGAGUUCUAAAGUGUUUGGUGUCGCUGACCACAUGAUGAGUCGUGCUAUUUCUUUCUGAGCAUAACGCUGACGGAGUAAUGAUUCCCUUCAUAUACUCUCGGUCAUUGAUGAGUGGUCUUUGACUCUUUAUGAAGGAUUGGAAAGGGAAUAUGAGUGAU